ACAACAUUGCACAACAGAAGCCUUGGCAAUAUGCAAGCAUCUUUUCUUUCUCCUCUUCCUUCCUGACAAGCAGUGAGACCCGCCUCUCACCAUAUUUCAUUGAGCCUGGAAGAGUGGAAGGAAUUUGGAUAGUGUGCUCCUGAGAGAGGCGCCCCCGGGUCAGGCACCAUCGCCAAAGGUCCAGCUGCCCCUGAGCUGGCAGAAUGUGGCAGAAAUUGAUGAAGAGUCGGUGCAUGGUCCUGGUGAAGCCACUGAGGAUGGCACUAGGCUAACAGGAGAGAGAAAAAAGGUUCCAGCUCCCUUCUAUAACGGUGCUGCAGGAGUUCACCCCGGUCCUUGGCAGCGCUGUAAAUUCCUCCUCUCUGAAUUGUUGGUUCGGGACAAUCAUUCAGCAGGGAAUUACUUUCUCAUCUAUGAAAUAAAUGAGAU
rnacentral:lncRNA from 1 species